GCAUUUGUUGUAGUCGCUGUGUUCGUAUGUUCAAGUAAGCACUUUUAAACUUUAAAUUAAUAUUGCGAUAAGGAACGACCGUUUCCGACGUAUUUCAGUAACGACAUUUGUGUCUCAGUUUCUCUAUGUAGAUAUGUGCUUUUACAGAUGAGCAAGAAAUAGUAGUUCCUCAAUGUGAAAUCUCACUUCAAAAUGAGAAACUUUUCCCCUUUAGUUUUCACUCUCCGACAGUGAAAUUUCUAGGAAAAACCUUAGUAUACUCUGUACUGAUUAUUCUCGAAAUUUUCUCACAAAUUUUUCCUCGGUAAAAAAUAAGUGCUGCACAAUUUAUAGUUGCCGUGAAAAGGCAAGAAGCACAGAUAAUUCGUAGCUCCUUAGAUGAAGGAACGCAUAUUCAUUCCGCGGCUGCAAAAUCAUCUCAAAAUUCAAUUUUCUACAAGAAUAUGACUUAGCAACAUCUGUUCGAAAUUGUGCUGAUUUUCUCAUGUGAGUGUAGGGAAACUCAGUGAGAUUUAUACAGUCUGCAAUUCGUUUGGUAAAAUUCAAAUUUGCGAUUAAAAACUGUGCAGCUUUGGAAUAUAGCUACGUUUUUCUGUCUGAAAGACGACAAUUUCAGGAAUUCUGACAACAACAAAAUUGCUUACAUGCACCACUUCUUAAUUCAGGCACAUAUACCAACUAAAACUUCUGAGAGAGAGAAAGAGUUUGAAUUUUUUAUGAGCGAUACUAAUCCUUGGUUCUUGUAAUCAUUUUUAGUGCCAAAUGCUAGUUUUGCCUCAAUCAUGGGGGGAAAAAAUUAUCUUUGCUGCAAAAUUAUUCCCUUUACUUUAUCUUAGAAAUACAGAUUUUAUUUAAUUUGCCUUCUCUUGUUUAUUCCAGAUGAAUUAAAGUCUAGGCAAUUACUGCAUUCGACGUACAAAUUGUUUAAUUAUUCUGUUAUAACUCAAGAGAUAGGAAUUUUAUUUCAGGGCUAUGCGUUGCUCAAUUUCGCCCUCAAUGGGACUGGAUUACCUCGUAUCAAGAAUUUAGGGCGGUUAUUUGAAUCUGCUAGCGAAACAAUAUACUUAUUGCUUUUAUUGCUUCUCGCCAAAGGAUAUACUGUGACUCGGGGAAAACUUCGAACUAUUUCAAGCGUUAAAAUCACCGUGUUUAUGUGCCUUUACGUGUUUACUUACACACUAUUAUUUAUUUACGAAAAACAAGUAAGUAUGAGAUUAUUCAUUAAAUAAUUUUCUUUUCCAUUAAAAAGUGUACUUCAAGAAAUAUGAUAACAAAAUUGGUUUCUCUUUAAUGGUACUGAUGGCUCAAUGGAAAAAAACUGUGAUUAAAACUACUCGAAUGGUGAAAUUACCUCUUUGUAGUGAGACAAUUCCAAUCUUAUUGGUUAUGAUUGCUGACUAUUGAGAAUGCACAUGAAACACCACUAAUAUAAUAUAACUACAAUUUGUUUACUCAAAGCUUCUCUCUUAAAUCAUUGCUCAUUGCUUGAAUGGGGCCAAGGUAAAAAUAACUGCAGAGAAAUUGAGAUUAUUGAGCAUACCUAAUAACAAGUAAUUGUUUUAUAAAUAUAAUGCACCUUCAAAAACAAAAUUAACCAAGAACAACAAUCCUUUUUCUGGUCACUUCAUAUAGAGCCAAAAAUUGCAUUUUAAAAAUUAUAAAAAGUAUCCGAUAAUAUUUAAGCUCUCCGACCAUUUUAAAUUUCAACUUAGUACG
rnacentral:lncRNA from 1 species